UACGGAGGGUGCAAGCGUUGCUCGGAAUUACUGGGCGUAAAGGGCGCGUAGGCGGCUUAGUUAGUCAGGCGUGAAAUUCCUGGGCUCAACCUGGGGACUGCGCUUGAUACGGCUAGGCUAGAGGAUGGAAGAGGGUCGCGGAAUUCCCAGUGUAGAGGUGAAAUUCGUAGAUAUUGGGAAGAACACCGGUGGCGAAGGCGGCGACCUGGUCCAUUACUGACGCUGAGGCGCGACAGCGUGGGGAGC
rnacentral:rRNA from 1 species